rnacentral:rRNA from 1 species
GUAGUCAUAUGCUUGUCUCAAAGAUUAAGCCAUGCAUGUCUAAGUAUAAGCAAUCUAUACAGUGAAGCUGCGAAUGGCUCAUUAAAUCAGUUAUCGUUUAUUUGAUAGUACCUUACUACUUGGAUAACCGUGGUAAUUCUAGAGCUAAUACAUGCUAAAAACCCCGACUUCGGAAGGGGUGUAUUUAUUAGAUAAAAAACCAAUGCUCUUCGGGGCUCCUUGGUGAUUCAUAAUAACUUAACGAAUCGCAUGGCCUUGUGCCGGCGAUGGUUCAUUCAAAUUUCUGCCCUAUCAACUUUCGAUGGUAGGAUAGUGGCCUACCAUGAUUUCAACGGGUAACGGGGAAU